GACGAACGCUGGCGGCGUGCCUAAUACAUGCAAGUCGAACGCACUUUCGUUAGAUUGAAGAAGCUUGCUUCUGAUUGAUAACAUUUGAGUGAGUGGCGGACGGGUGAGUAACACGUGGGUAACCUGCCCUAAAGUGGGGGAUAACAUUUGGAAACAGAUGCUAAUACCGCAUAAAACCUAGCACCGCAUGGUGUAAGGUUGAAAGAUGGUUUCGGCUAUCACUUUAGGAUGGACCCGCGGUGCAUUAGUUAGUUGGUGAGGUAAAGGCUCACCAAGACCGUGAUGCAUAGCCGACCUGAGAGGGUAAUCGGCCACACUGGGACUGAGACACGGUCCAGACUCCUACGGGAGGCAGCAGUAGGGAAUCUUCCACAAUGGACGAAAGUCUGAUGGAGCAACGCCGCGUGAGUGAAGAAGGUUUUCGGAUCGUAAAACUCUGUUGUUGGAGAAGAACGUAUUUGAUAGUAACUGAUCAGGUAGUGACGGUAUCCAACCAGAAAGCCACGGCUAACUACGUG
rnacentral:rRNA from 2 species